rnacentral:rRNA from 1 species
UGGGGAAUUUUGGUACAAUGGGCGCGAAGCCUGAUCCAGCUAUUCCGCGUGUGGGAUGAAGGCCCUCGGUUGUAAACCACUUUUGUAGAGAACGAAAAGACACCUUUUAAUAAAGGGUGUUGCUGACGGUACUCUAAGAAUAAGCACCGGCUAACUACGUGCC